rnacentral:rRNA from 1 species
GAUGAACGCUGGCGGCGUGCCUAAUACAUGCAAGUCGAGCGAACGGACGAGAAGCUUGCUUCUCUGAUGUUAGCGGCGGACGGGUGAGUAACACGUGGAUAACCUACCUAUAAGACUGGGAUAACUUCGGGAAACCGGAUCUAAUACCGGAUAAUCUUUUGAACCGCAGGGUUCAAAAGUGAAAGACGGUCUUGCUGUCACUUAUAGAUGGAUCCGCGCUGCAUUAGCUAGUUGGUAAGGUAACGGCUUACCAAGGCAACGAUGCAUAGCCGACCUGAGAGGGUGAUCGGCCACACUGGAACUGGGACACGGUCCAGACUCCUACGGGAGGCAGCAGUAGGGAAUCUUCCGCAAUGGGCGAAAGCCUGACGGAGCAACGCCGCGUGAGUGAUGAAGGUCUUCGGAUCGUAAAGCUCUGUUAUUAGGGAAGAACAUAUGUGUAAGUAACUGUGCACAUCUUGACGGUACCUAAUCAGAAAGCCACGGCUAACUACGUG